UAAAAGGGUGUCUUCCGCUUGCAUGGAACGUUCGGCCAAUACGGUCUGAGCGGGGUAUGGCCAUCAAUACAUACCCGACACAUAAUUUUUUGAACUGCGGGCAGUUGGCUACCCUCGAGUGCCGGCGCCUGC
rnacentral:snRNA from 2 species